CGGACGGGUGAGUAAUGCUUGGGAAUCUGGCUUAUGGAGGGGGAUAACUACGGGAAACUGUAGCUAAUACCGCGUAGUAUCGGAAGAUGAAAGUGUGGGACCGCAAGGCCACAUGCCAUAAGAUGAGCCCAAGUGGGAUUAGGUAGUUGGUUAGGUAAAGGCUGACCAAGCCGACGAUCUCUAGCUGGUCUGAGAGGAUGACCAGGCACACUGGAACUGAGACACGGUCCAGACUCCUACGGGAGGCAGCAGUGGGGAAUAUUGCACAAUGGGGGGAACCCUGAUGCAGCCAUGCCGCGUGAAUGAAGAAGGCCUUCGGGUUGUAAAGUUCUUUCGGUGAUGAGGAAGGUGUUUGUUUUAAUAGAACAAGCAAUUGACGUUAGUCACAGAAGAAGCACCGGCUAACUCCGUGCCAGCAGCCGCGGUAAUACGGAGGGUGCGAGCGUUAAUCGGAAUAACUGGGCGUAAAGGGCACGCAGGCGGUGACUUAAGUGAGAUGUGAAAGCCCCGAGCUUAACUUGGGAAUUGCAUUUCAUACUGGGUCGCUAGAGUACUUUAGGGAGGGGUAGAAUUCCACGUGUAGCGGUGAAAUGCGUAGAGAUGUGGAGGAAUACCGAAGGCGAAGACAGCCCCUUGGGAAUGUACUGACGCUCAUGUGCGAAAGCGUGGGGAGCAAACAGGAUUAGAUACCCUGGUAGUCCACGCUGU
rnacentral:rRNA from 1 species